rnacentral:rRNA from 1 species
UACGGGGGGGGCAAGCGUUGUCCGGAAUUAUUGGGCGUAAAGAGCUCGUAGGCGGUCUGUUGCGUCUGCUGUGAAAACCCGGGGCUUAACCCCUGGCUUGCAGUGGAUACGGACAGACUAGAGGUAGGUAGGGGAGAAUGGAAUUCCCGGUGUAGCGGUGAAAUGCGCAGAUAUCGGGAGGAACACCGGUGGCGAAGGCGGUUCUCUGGGCCUUACCUGACGCUGAGGAGCGAAAGCGUGGGGAGCGAACAGG